UACGUAGGGGGCUAGCGUUGUCCGGAUUUAUUGGGCGUAAAGAGCGUGUAGGCGGCCAGGUAGGUCCGGUGUGAAAACUCGAGGCUUAACCUCGAGAUGUCAUCGGAAACCAUCUGGCUAGAGUCCGGAAGAGGAGAGUGGAAUUCCUGGUGUAGCGGUGAAAUGCGCAGAUAUCAGGAAGAACACCUAUGGCGAAGGCAGCUCUCUGGGACGGUACUGACGCUGAGACGCGAAAGCGUGGGGAGCGAACAGG
rnacentral:rRNA from 1 species